rnacentral:lncRNA from 1 species
ACUGCUUUACAACUCUCCAUAUUCUUAGUGUUGCCAAAACCAUCAUAAUAGAGAUACAACUCAACAAGGUCCUCUUGAUUUAAAUCGCCAAUUAUAAUAAUACAUACAUACAUUAUCAAGGCUUAUUUUUUUGUUGUAAUUAUUUUUUCUUCAAUAAAGAAAAAAAAAAAAAGACAGAUCAAAAUUAUUUCAAGGACCGAAGUGAUUGUCCCUACAAAAGCAUUUUGUAAUAUGGAAAAGAUAUGGUCAGAGAAGCACAAAAGGAAGGAAGGAAGGAGUCAUGGAAUUGGAUAAGCUCUUUAUGGGUCCCAAAUUCCUCAAUUUCAUUUUCUAGAGAUUAGAGAGAAAGAGAGAGAAAGAGAAGUUUCCAAAAACAACAAUUAUCUCUCUAAAUAUUAUAAUAUUCCCUAGUCCCCCCACUCACUAACUCAGUACCAUCAAACUAUAUAUAACCACCACUUUGAAUCACCCAAGGCAACAAACCAGACCAGAACCACCAUAAGCUAACAAACAAACACAGAACAGAGAGAUGUUUUCAGAUCACUUACCUUCUUCAUCUCAAGUCUUCCAAGAACACUUCAUCUCCAGAAAAUUGCUUCAGCAGUUUCAUCACACCACUACUCAACAAGCUCAUGUACCUGAUAGGAACAACUUGAGCGGCAACGUUCUCCUGCUACUCUCUAUCCUUUUAUGUGGUAUCAUCUGCUCCCUCGGGUUGCAUUACAUCAUUCGCUGUGCAUUCAGACGCUCUCGAAGUUUCAUGAUCUCUGAUCCCAUCUCUAGCCCCUCCACACCACGAGGUUCAGAGGAAGUAAGCAAAGGGAUCAAGAAGAAGGCUCUCAAGAUGUUCCCAGUAGUCAAUUACUCACCAGAGAUUAACCUCUCAGGGCUCGGCGAGGAGUGUGUCAUCUGUUUGUCUGAUUUUGCUGCCGGAGAACAGCUACGUCUGCUUCCCAAGUGCAAUCACG